rnacentral:rRNA from 1 species
GUACACGCUGUGACUAGCAUAUCAAUAAGCGGAGGAAAAGAAACUAACAAGGAUUCCCUUAGUAACGGCGAGUGAAGCGGGAAGAGCUCAAAUUUGAAAUCUUAAAGGGUUUCCCUUUACGAAUUGUAGUUUAAAGAAGUGUUUUCUGUUGAGGUUUUGGUAAAAGUUCUUUGGAAUAGGACAUCAUAGAGGGUGAGAAUCCCGUAUUUGACCUUUACUUUCAACUUUGUGAUGCACUUUCAAAGAGUCGGAUUGUUUGGGAAUGCAGUCCAAAAUGGGUGGUAAAUUUCAUCUAAAGCUAAAUAUUGGCGAGAGACCGAUAGCGAACAAGUACCGUGAGGGAAAGAUGAAAAGAACUUUGAAAAGAGAGUUAAACAGUACGUGAAAUUGUCAAAAGGGAAGCGUUUGACACCAGUGUUGUUUUUCUGAAAAUCAAUUAAAGAACUGUUUAUGCUAAGCUGUUUAGACUUUAUCAGCUAUCUGUUUAGUUUUAGGCUUUUCUUUAAUGCACUUUUCAGUUAACAAGUCAACAUCAAUUUCUUUUGCUGUAAAAAAGCUUGAGGAAGGUGGCUUGAGAUUCGUCUUAAGUGUUUAUAGCCUCUUGCCUAUGCAGUCGGAGAGAUUGAGGUCUGCAGCGUAGAUCCUUCGGGGCUAAAUGCAUUUGUGCUAAGUUAUAGCAUUUUAUAGACAACUUGUUGACUAUGAUUUGUCUUGUAGCUUACUCGCUUAUGUUAUUUUACCUACGCUUAGGAUGUUGAUAUGCAUGACUGAUAU